rnacentral:rRNA from 1 species
CCUACGGGGGGCAGCAGUGAGGAAUAUUGGUCAAUGGGCUUACGCCUGAACCAGCCAAGUCGCGUGAGGGAAGACUGCCCUAUGGGUUGUAAACCUCUUUUGUCAGGGAGCAACUCCGGCUACGUGUAGCCGGACUGAGAGUACCUGACGAAAAAGCAUCGGCUAACUCCGUGCCAGCAGCCGCGGUAAUACGGAGGAUGCGAGCGUUAUCCGGAUUUAUUGGGUUUAAGGGGUGCGUAGGCGGAAUGCCAAGUCAGCGGUAAAAUCGCGGGGCUAACCCUCGCUCUGCCGUUGAAACUGGCGGUCUUGAGUGGGCGAGAGGUAUGCGGAAUGCGUGGUGUAGCGGUGAAAUGCAUAGAGAUCACGCAGAACUCCGAUUGCGAAGGCAGCAUACCGGCGAACAACUGACGCUGAAGCACGAAAGCGUGGGUAUCGAACAGGAUUAGAUACCCGAGUAGUC